rnacentral:lncRNA from 1 species
UGGACUGUAUGGAAGUUGAAUUUAAGGAAGUCUCUAUACCAAGUCUGUCACACAUGCUGUGAUGCUGUAAUUAACAAUAGAGACUUCCAUUGGAAGAAUGUCCUGGGACCCAACAUUCCAGUCUCGCCCUCUCUGAGGUGGGAAAGACCAGGGUUUGAGACUCUGAAUGAGGUCCAAAUGAACCAUUAACAUAACAUCUGCCCAAAGAAAGUUCCAUUCAAAGGAUAAGGAAGACCAGGCGCAUUAGUCUUCUACCCAGAAUCAAGGGAUGAGAGAAGGAGGACCAGUCCCUCAACCCGCUCUAGUGUCAGCAAGCUGCUGUUGCUCUUGAGAAGUCCUUUGUUACAAAAUCCCGUGGCACGGCUUUCUACAGAGAAUUGCCCCCUUUGAAGAUUUGCCCCAGUGGUCGUCGUGUUAGCUGCUUCGGUGAAGAAAUAAAAAGGCAUGCCUUAGAUCAACUAUUACUUAUGAAAGGACACCUAGACAUGAAUUCGAAAGGUUUACAUUGUCAAACCAGGGAAGGAGGCAGAGAAGGAAGAUUGUAUCCCUACCUCGGAACGCAGGGGCUAAGGAGCAAGCCAGAAACGUAAAGCCCGUGGCAUUUCCUAUGAGAGUCUUCUCUGGAAGCCAAAGCAAUCACAGAAUGACAGGCCAAAGCUGGUGCUGCACACCUCAAGCUCAACGUACAUGGAAACCAAAGAGUGGCUCUUUUCAAUUAGAAACAUAAAAUGACUGAUGUUAACCGACAAAAUUUGAGUUCUGACACCAAGCUUAGUGUGGUACGUGGAGCAAAGAAGUUGCUGAAUACUUUCUAUGAGCCACUGGAACACUCACCCCACCCCACAACGAUUCUGCUAGCUCGAGCAAUCUAUUGUUCUACGCAGAAAACAAGAAGUGAAAAUGGGUAACUUUGGAGUCCACGUGUUGAACAUUCCCUGGGAAGAAACCUGAGUCUCUGAAUGACUCCAUGGAGCAGAGCCCUUUCACACCACCACACACCUACUCUCUGCUCACCUGUUGGUCUGUGAAAUGCAGCAGCAAAAGACCAUAAUGUGUUCAGACACCAAGGAUUUGGGGUUGUUUGUUACAGAAGAUAUCCUAUCCUGAUUUAUUCAAACAUUUAGCCCACAGUAAUGUUUAUUAAAUAGACCUGUGCAAGAAUGGACUGGUCACUUUGGCAACCUGGAAACUGUACUUCAUGCAAGCACCCCAGGAAUGUUUGUUACUCCGAAUGUGUAUCCAUAAUAUUGUCAGUAAGCCACAUUUGCCAAGAAACCCAGGAAAACACUGAAGUUUGCCAGCCUGGAAGAUAAUUCACAUCCCCAGAGUAAAAAAUGCUACUUAUCCGUUCUCAUCUCCAGGCCGCAUGCUAUAUCUGUAUUCACGUUUCAAUAUUGAUUCAAAAUAUCACUUACCUCUUUCAUUGUGGUUUCCUCUCCAAGAUUUAUUUCCUCAGAAAGGUUGGUUCCUCACCAUAGUUACAUAUUUCUGAGAUUAAGUCUUUCUACCUUGCCCUGCUAUUUUUUUCCUUGUUAUUUUACCACAUUAUGUCUUAUCAGUAAGAAUUGACAGCCCCCUGGGAAAGAACUGGUUUGAAAUGAUGUGCACAGUAAUCAGGUGCUUGUCUAAGGAUAUUUCCGUGCAAUGGGAGUUCCUUCAGUGUGGUCUGCAGCCCAGGAUCAUCAGCAUUACCCAGAGAAAUAAAGCAAUGCAGACUCUCAGGACCUAUCCCAGACCUACAGAAUCUAAAUCUUCAUCUUAACUAGAUCUCAAUGUGGUUCCUAUUGUUGAAAGAACUUUCUAGGCCCAAGAUGGAGCCACUCCUGCCCAGGGUGCCACGUCAGCAAACUGAAACUUAGAUAACUUUAGUAACCCCCUCAAUGUCAACUUAACUACAAACGCAGUACAUUCCAGUCAGCCAAUCCCCAAAAGCCAGGCCACCUCUGGGCUCUGUACUCACUUCCUCACUCCUUCUCACCCCAAGGCUGACUAUGUGUCCUAGCCAAUCAGAUAUUUUCUAUUUUCCUCUUCCUUGUUGGUUAUUCUUUAUCCUUUAAAAGCUUCCUGCCUCCAACCCAUCUUUCAGUUCUCCAAAUGGAGACUAUCUGCCUCACAAAAUGUUAAAUCAAGUUUGUUUGUGUC